rnacentral:rRNA from 1 species
UGGCUCAGGAUGAACGCCGGCGGUGUGCCUAAUACAUGCAAGUCGUACGCACUGGCCCAACUGAUUGAUGGUGCUUGCACCUGAUUGACGUUGGAUCACCAGUGAGUGGCGGACGGGUGAGUAACACGUAGGUAACCUGCCCCGGAGCGGGGGAUAACAUUUGGAAACAGAUGCUAUACCGCAUAACAACAAAAGCCACAUGGCUUUUGUUUGAAAGAUGGCUUUAGCUAUCACUCUGGGAUGGACCUGCGGUGCAUUAGCUAGUUGGUAAGGUAACGGCUUACCAAGGCGAUGAUGCAUAGCCGAGUUGAGAGACUGAUCGGCCACAAUGGAACUGAGACACGGUCCAUACUCCUACGGGAGGCAGCAGUAGGGAAUCUUUCACAAUGGGCGCAAGCCUGAUGGAGCAACACCGCGUGAGUGAAGAAGGGUUUCGGCUCGUAAAGCUCUGUUGUUGGAGAAGAACGUGCGUGAGAGUAACUGUUCACGCAGUGACGGUAUCCAACCAGAAAGUCACGGCUAACUACGUGCCAGCAGCCGCGGUAAUACGUAGGUGGCAAGCGUUAUCCGGAUUUAUUGGGCGUAAAGCGAGCGCAGGCGGUUGCUUAGGUCUGAUGUGAAAGCCUUCGGCUUAACCGAAGAAGUGCAUCGGAAACCGGGCAACUUGAGUGCAGAAGAGGACAGUGGAACUCCAUGUGUAGCGGUGGAAUGCGUAGAUAUAUGGAAGAACACCAGUGGCGAAGGCGGCUGUCUGGUCUGCAACUGACGCUGAGGCUCGAAAGCAUGGGUAGCGAACAGGAUUAGAUACCCUGGUAGUCCAUGCCGUAAACGAUGAGUGCUAGGUGUUGGAGGGUUUCCGCCCUUCAGUGCCGGAGCUAACGCAUUAAGCACUCCGCCUGGGGAGUACGACCGCAAGGUUGAAACUCAAAGGAAUUGACGGGGGCCCGCACAAGCGGUGGAGCAUGUGGUUUAAUUCGAAGCUACGCGAAGAACCUUACCAGGUCUUGACAUCUUGCGCUAACCUUAGAGAUAAGGCGUUCCCUUCGGGGACGCAAUGACAGGUGGUGCAUGGUCGUCGUCAGCUCGUGUCGUGAGAUGUUGGGUUAAGUCCCGCAACGAGCGCAACCCUUGUUACUAGUUGCCAGCAUUAAGUUGGGCACUCUAGUGAGACUGCCGGUGACAAACCGGAGGAAGGUGGGGACGACGUCAGAUCAUCAUGCCCCUUAUGACCUGGGCUACACACGUGCUACAAUGGACGGUACAACGAGUCGCAAGCUCGCGAGAGUAAGCUAAUCUCUUAAAGCCGUUCUCAGUUCGGACUGUAGGCUGCAACUCGCCUACACGAAGUCGGAAUCGCUAGUAAUCGCGGAUCAGCAUGCCGCGGUGAAUACGUUCCCGGGCCUUGUACACACCGCCCGUCGCACCAUGGGAGUUUGUAACGCCCAAAGUCGAUGGCCUACCUUUAUGGAGGGAGCCGCCUAAGGCGGGACAGAUGACUGGGGUGAAGUCGUA